rnacentral:rRNA from 1 species
CACGUAGGGCGCAAGCGUUUGUCCGGAAUUAUUGGGCGUAAAGAGCUCGUAGGCGGUCUGUUACGUCUGCUGUGAAAACCCGGGGCUUAACCCUGGGCUUGCAGUGGAUACGGGCAGACUAGAGGCAGGUAGGGGAGAAUGGAAUUCCCGGUGUAGCGGUGAAAUGCGCAGAUAUCGGGAGGAACACCGGUGGCGAAGGCGGUUCUCUGGGCCUGACCUGACGCUGAGGUGCGAAAGCAAGGGGAGCAAACAGG